AAACCAACCGGGAUUGCCUUAGUAACGGCGAGUGAAGCGGCAAAAGCUCAAAUUUGAAAUCUGGCGUCUUCGACGUCCGAGUUGUAAUUUGAAGAAGGCGACUUUGUAGCUGGUCCUUGUCUAUGUUCCUUGGAACAGGACGUCAUAGAGGGUGAGAAUCCCGUGUGGCGAGGAUCCCAGUUAUUUGUAAAGUGCUUUCGAC
rnacentral:rRNA from 1 species